AGUUGGGCACUCUAGCGAGACUGCCGGUGACAAACCGGAGGAAGGUGGGGAUGACGUCAAAUCAUCAUGCCCCUUAUGACCUGGGCUACACACGUGCUACAAUGGACAGUACAAUGAGUUGCGAGACCGCGAGGUUUAGCUAAUCUCUUAAAGCUGUUCUCAGUUCGGAUUGCAGGCUGCAACUCGCCUGCAUGAAGCCGGAAUCGCUAGUAAUCGCGGAUCAGAACGCCGCGGUGAAUACGUUCCCGGGCCUUGUACACACCGCCCGUCACACCACGAGAGUUUGUAACACCCAAAGUCGGUGAGGUAACCUUCGGGAGCCAGCCGCCUAAGGUGGGAUGGAUGAUUGGGGUGAAGUCGUAACAAGGUAGCCGUAUCGGAAGGUGCGGCUGGAUCACCUCCUUU
rnacentral:rRNA from 1 species